AGAGUUUGAUCCUGGCUCAGGACGAACGCUGGCGGCGUGCCUAAUACAUGCAAGUGGAACGCAUGAUUGAUACCGGAGCUUGCUCCACCAUUAAUCAUGAGUCGCGAACGGGUGAGUAACGCGUAGGUAACCUACCUCAUAGCGGGGGAUAACUAUUGGAAACGAUAGCUAAUACCGCAUAACAGUAUUUAUCGCAUGGUAAAUGCUUGAAAGGAGCAAUUGCUUCACUAUGAGAUGGACCUGCGUUGUAUUAGCUAGUUGGUGGGGUAACGGCUCACCAAGGCAUCGGUACAUAGCCGACCUGAGAGGGUGAUCGGCCACACUGGGACUGAGACACGGCCCAGACUCCUACGGGAGGCAGCAGUAGGGAAUCUUCGGCAAUGGGGGGAACCCUGACCGAGCAACGCCGCGUGAGUGAAGAAGGUUUUCGGAUCGUAAAGCUCUGUUGUAAGAGAAGAACGUGUGUGAGAGUGGAAAGUUCACACAGUGACGGUAACUUACCAGAAAGGGACGGCUAACUACGUGCCAGCAGCCGCGGUAAUACGUAGGUCCCGAGCGUUGUCCGGAUUUAUUGGGCGUAAAGCGAGCGCAGGCGGUUUGAUAAGUCUGAAGUAAAAGGCUGUGGCUUAACCAUAGUAUGCUUUGGAAACUGUCAAACUUGAGUGCAGAAGGGGAGAGUGGAAUUCC
rnacentral:rRNA from 1 species